GACAGAGGAGGCGAGCGAUAUCCGGAGUCAUUGGGCGUAAAGGGUACGUAGGCGGCUAGUCAAGUCUGAGGUUAAAGCCCACAGCUUAACUGUGGGAAGGCCUUGGAAACUGACUGGCUAGAGUGGGGCAGGGGUUGCGGGAAUUCCCGGUGUAGCGGUGAAAUGCGUAGAUAUCGGGAAGAACACGUGACGCGAAAGCGCGCAACUGGGCCCUGAAUGACUCUGAGGUACGAAAGCUAGGGGAGCGAAUGGG
rnacentral:rRNA from 1 species